GGUGAGUCCACCUCAGCACUCCUCACAUCUCCGCAUUCCUGUCCAUGACCAUGAAGCUGAGCCUGUUACUAGGUGAUAUCUCAGCUAUCUGAGCCCCUUGACCAUGUGUUGAUGUUGGUGACUCUGCAACUCCCCCCAGUAACCAGGCAGACUUGUAUGCUUACAGUGCUCUGUUUAAGGAGUUACCAUGGUAACCUUACCACCAAUGCACCUGCUCAUAA